rnacentral:rRNA from 1 species
AUUGAACGCUGGCGGCAGGCCUAACACAUGCAAGUCGAACGGUAGCACAGAGAGCUUGCUCUCGGGUGACGAGUGGCGGACGGGUGAGUAAUGUCUGGGAAACUGCCCGAUGGAGGGGGAUAACUACUGGAAACGGUAGCUAAUACCGCAUAACGUCGCAAGACCAAAGGGGGGGACCUUCGGGCCUCACACCAUCGGAUGUGCCCAGAUGGGAUUAGCUAGUAGGUGGGGUAAUGGCUCACCUAGGCGACGAUCCCUAGCUGGUCUGAGAGGAUGACCAGCCACACUGGAACUGAGACACGGUCCAGACUCCUACGGGAGGAAGCAGUGGGGAACAUUGCACAAUGGGCGCAAGCCUGAUGCAGCCAUGCCGCGUGUAUGAAGAAGGCCUUCGGGUUGUAAAGUACUUUCAGCGGGGAGGAAGGCGGUGAAGUUAAUAGCUUCACCGAUUGACGUUACCCGCAGAAGAAGCACCGGCUAACUCCGUGCCAGCCGCCGCGGUAA